UAAUACAUAAGUAACCUGGCAUCUACAGGGGGAUAACUGAUGGAAACGNCNGCUAAGACCGCAUAGGUGUAGAGAUCGCAUGAACUCUAUAUGAAAAGUGCUACGGGACUGGUAGAUGAUGGACUUAUGGCGCAUUAGCUUGUUGGUAGGGUAACGGCCUACCAAGGCGACGAUGCGUAGCCGACCUGAGAGGGUGACCGGCCACACUGGGACUGAGACACGGCCCAGACUCCUACGGGAGGCAGCAGUAGGGAAUUUUCGGCAAUGGGGGAAACCCUGACCGAGCAACGCCGCGUGAAGGAAGAAGUAAUUCGUUAUGUAAACUUCUGUCAUAGAGGAAGAACGGUGGAUAUAGGGAAUGAUGUCCAAGUGACGGUACUCUAUAAGAAAGCCACGGCUAACUACGUGCCAGCAGCCGCGGUAAUACGUAGGUGGCGAGCGUUAUCCGGAAUUAUUGGGCGUAAAGAGGGAGCAGGCGGCACUAAGGGUCUGUGGUGAAAGAUCGAAGCUUAACUUCGGUAAGCCAUGGAAACCGUAGAGCUAGAGUGUGUGAGAGGAUCGUGGAAUUCCAUGUGUAGCGGUGAAAUGCGUAGAUAUAUGGAGGAACACCAGUGGCGAAGGCGACGAUCUGGCGCAUAACUGACGCUCAGUCCCGAAAGCGUGGGGAGCAAAUAGGAUUAGAUACCCUAGUAGUCCACGCCGUAAACGAUGAGUACUAAGUGU
rnacentral:rRNA from 1 species